rnacentral:rRNA from 1 species
AGAUUGAACGCUGGCGGCGUGCCUAAAACAUGCAAGUCGGACGAGCCAAUCCCCGCAAGGGGAAAGGCUAGUGGCGAACGGCUGAGUAACACGUAGGUGAUCUGCCCUGAAGUGGGGGAUAACGACUCGAAAGAGUCGCUAAUACCGCAUGUGACCAUCGAUCCGUUUUCGAUGCUCAAAGUCGUAAGACGUCUUUAGGAGGAGCCUGCGGCGAUUAGCUAGUGGUGAGUAAUGGACCCACAAGGCUUCGAUCCGUAGC